CGCUACAAUAGCAACCUCUCAUCUGGGAAGUUUUCCAAAAGAUUUCAGCUGAGGUAUGGCACUGAUGUUAGACUACAAGGUCUGACAUGCAACUUGUAUUCUAGUUCAUCCUGUGUUCAGGGGGGCUGAGCUGAUUCCUCCAUGCCAAGCUCGUUAAACCAUGUCUUCAUAGGGUUUGCCUUGCACACAGGAGUACAAUAAUGCUGGCACAGGAAAAGUCCUUCCCCAAAAUGCUGCUACAUAUUGGACACACCCAAUUGUCUAAAAUGUCUUUGUUUCCUGUAGCAUUAAGAUGACCUGCCACUGGAAUUUAGGAGCCUAUCCCAAAUCCUGAAGAAAACCAUUAUCAGUCCUCACUAAAACUUUGCAGUAAGCACUAUGUAUUUUGGUAGACUGGUGUUGCUCCUAGAUGCU